CCGGCUGCUACAAAGACACUUGAUCAGCAAACUGGGAUUCUACUUACUUGAGGUUAUCCAGGGAAGGGUACCCUUCUGUCCAUGUCCUGGAAGACUCAACAAGAGCUAAAGGCCCAUGGGCUGGGGACAGAAAGCCUGGGCCAACCUGUGGGAUUCAUAAAAGCUCUGAGAAGCCCUGCAAAGAAACCUCUCAAACUUGGGUCAACUGUGCAUUCCAAACUUAUUUCAUCAUCGAACUACUGUUCAAGCAAUGCUAUCUGGCUUCCUGAGGAGCUACUUUUUCCAAAAAGCACACUCUGGGAAUUAAUGGCUUCAUAAG
ensembl:lncRNA